CACAAAAAACCAAAUCAGUACAUUAAAUUUACUUUUUUUUUAAGCUAAACACUGAAGCUACUUCUGCAUAUUUCUAAUGAAGCACAAGAAUCCAACUGACUGCAGUUGCUCACACUGCUGAAAUCAUGUCUCACUGUUUAAGUUUCACAGUUGUACUGUGAGUAUCUGUAACUUAAGAAAUCAACAGGAGACACUGUGGUGCAGUGUCUGGUAAAAUUAUUACAUUCAUGUACGAAUGAACACAAUACUUUUCUGCAGGAUUGUUCUCUCAUUCCUUAUCUGCAGCUGCAGUAUCCUGUUUUACCACUUCAACUUCAUCAUCACACCUCAUUAUAUUGGACCGCCUGCACUUGACGCUUUUGUGAAUAAGAAUGGUCAAAAGAUGUUUCACAUGCCCUUUCUGUGACACGCUGAGAGCCUGAAGCAGAACGCCUGAGUUAACAGACAAAGUUCAUAAUCAGCUCAUGCUAUCAGAUAUCUUUAUCUGCAGCUUCUGGCUUUGCUGAACCAGCUUUCUUAAAGAAAACCUGGAUAUGUUGAACUUGCUUCAGAUACAACAAAUGACCCAAUUUACUGAUCAAUAACCUAAACAACUAAAUACCGCCACCUAGUGUCUAAAGCUCACUGACUUGAAGAGAGAGGACACUUGGCUUUAAUGUACGAGACACACAAGUCCCAGAUUGAAUCACUCUAUCAGAAGAUGCUCUCAGAUUCAGAUCCAUCAGCAACCCCUGACA